rnacentral:rRNA from 1 species
AAAUUGAAGAGUUUGAUCAUGGCUCAGAUUGAACGCUGGCGGCAGGCCUAACACAUGCAAGUCGAACGGUAACAGGAAGCAGCUUGCUGCUUCGCUGACGAGUGGCGGACGGGUGAGUAAUGUCUGGGAAACUGCCUGAUGGAGGGGGAUAACUACUGGAAACGGUAGCUAAUACCGCAUAACGUCGCAAGACCAAAGAGGGGGACCUUCGGGCCUCUUGCCAUCGGAUGUGCCCAGAUGGGAUUAGCUAGUAGGUGGGGUAACGGCUCACCUAGGCGACGAUCCCUAGCUGGUCUGAGAGGAUGACCAGCCACACUGGAACUGAGACACGGUCCAGACUCCUACGGGAGGCAGCAGUGGGGAAUAUUGCACAAUGGGCGCAAGCCUGAUGCAGCCAUGCCGCGUGUAUGAAGAAGGCCUUCGGGUUGUAAAGUACUUUCAGCGGGGAGGAAGGCGAUAAGGUUAAUAACCUUGUCGAUUGACGUUACCCGCAGAAGAAGCACCGGCUAACUCCGUGCCAGCAGCCGCGGUAAUACGGAGGGUGCAAGCGUUAAUCGGAAUUACUGGGCGUAAAGCGCACGCAGGCGGUCUGUCAAGUCGGAUGUGAAAUCCCCGGGCUCAACCUGGGAACUGCAUUCGAAACUGGCAGGCUAGAGUCUUGUAGAGGGGGGUAGAAUUCCAGGUGUAGCGGUGAAAUGCGUAGAGAUCUGGAGGAAUACCGGUGGCGAAGGCGGCCCCCUGGACAAAGACUGACGCUCAGGUGCGAAAGCGUGGGGAGCAACAGGAUUAGAUACCCUGGUAGUCCACGCCGUAAACGAUGUCGACUUGGAGGUUGUGCCCUUGAGGCGUGGCUUCCGGAGCUAACGCGUUAAGUCGACCGCCUGGGGAGUACGGCCGCAAGGUUAAAACUCAAAUGAAUUGACGGGGGCCCGCACAAGCGGUGGAGCAUGUGGUUUAAUUCGAUGCAACGCGAAGAACCUUACCUACUCUUGACAUCCAGAGAACUUAGCAGAGAUGCUUUGGUGCCUUCGGGAACUCUGAGACAGGUGCUGCAUGGCUGUCGUCAGCUCGUGUUGUGAAAUGUUGGGUUAAGUCCCGCAACGAGCGCAACCCUUAUCCUUUGUUGCCAGCGGUCCGGCCGGGAACUCAAAGGAGACUGCCAGUGAUAAACUGGAGGAAGGUGGGGAUGACGUCAAGUCAUCAUGGCCCUUACGAGUAGGGCUACACACGUGCUACAAUGGCGCAUACAAAGAGAAGCGACCUCGCGAGAGCAGCAAGCGGACCUCAUAAAGUGCGUCGUAGUCCGGAUUGGAGUCUGCAACUCGACUCCAUGAAGUCGGAAUCGCUAGUAAUCGUGGAUCAGAAUGCCACGGUGAAUACGUUCCCGGGCCUUGUACACACCGCCCGUCACACCAUGGGAGUGGGUUGCAAAAGAAGUAGGUAGCUUAACCUUCGGGAGGGCGCUUACCACUUUGUGAUUCAUGACUGGGGUGAAGUCGUAACAAGGUAACCGUAGGGGAACCUGCGGUUGGAUCACCUCCUUA